rnacentral:guide_RNA from 1 species
AUGACAAACCGCGUAGACGUAGAUAGAGUGAAUGAUUGUAUAG